rnacentral:lncRNA from 1 species
GCAGGUAACAAAUACACAUUUAGCAUGGCAAAUACAAAUAGGCACACCCAACUAGAGCACAAGCAAGUAAUUCAAGUAAUAUGCAUAUGAUGCAUGCCUGUCCUAUGGCUGAUGAGGCUCAUCUGUCGGUUAACCAGCCAACCCGACAAGUCUGAAUUGUCCUUAGACUGUCCCCCGACGUGCAUCCCCAAGAGUCUAUGCAUAGAUUUUUCUCAAAUAAUCAAUAUUGCUCAAUGGGGGUAACAUUCCCGGGAAUUUAUAUAGUGCCCGGUCACACUUACGUCGUAGGGUCAACAGAGUAUCGAGUUUUCAACCUGGUACACGUGGUGGCAAGCCACGGCACUUAAUCCAGGGAAUCUCGUAUCUCAAAUUAUUCAAAUUCAUAAGCCAUAUAAAUAAUUCAAUUAUAAUUCCUCAAUAUCCACAUCAUUCUGGAUAGUCCUUUCGCAUAUCUGAUUCGAGUUCCCAGGUAUGUUCCUCGAUACCAGCUCGACUCCAAGCUACUUUUACCAAUGAUACUUCCCUUCCCCGUAAUCGUUUAACACUGGUGUCAUCAAUUCUUACUGGGGCUAUUGGAAGUGUUAGAUCUUCUCUCACUUGGAUUGGUUCUGGUUCUAGAACAUGACUUGCAUCAGGAGUAUACUUCCGAAGCUGUGAUACAUGAAAUACAUCGUGCAAAUUCGAAAGGUACGGCGGUAAGGCAAUUCUAUAAGCCACUGGUCCAAUUCUCUUCAGAAUCUCAAACGGUCCAAUAUAACGGGGAUUUAGUUUCUUGGUCUUAAUAGCUCUUCCCACGCCAGUGGUUGGUGUAACUCUCAGCAAGACAUGUUCUCCCUCUUCGAAUUCCAAAGGCUUUCGCCUCUGAUCAGCAUAGCUCUUCUGGCGGCUUUGGGCUAUAAGCAUUCGACUACGAAUCUUCUUUAUCUGCUCAGUCGUUUCAGCUAUCAUUUCAGGCCCUAAUAAACUCCUUUCUUCAGUUUCAUACCAACACAACGGAGACUGACAUUUUCUGCCAUACAGAGCUUCAUAUGGAGCCAUUCCGAUGCUCGCAUGGUAGCUAUUAUUAUAAGCAAAUUCCACUAAUGGCAUAUAUCGAUCCCAGCUCGCCGGCUGGUCCAAAACACAAGCCCUUAGCAUAUCCUCCAAGGUCUGAAUAGUUCUCUCUGACUGACCAUCUGUCUGAGGGUGAUAUGCAGUACUCAAACUUAACUGAGUCCCGAAUGCACGCUGAAAAGCUCCCCAGAACCUUGAUGUGAAACGAGGAUCCCUAUCAGAUAUAAUGGUAGAAGGCACGCCAUGCAACCUGACAAUCUCUUUAAUAUACAUUCGAGCCAAUUCUUCCAUUGUGCAACUUAUUCGGAUAGGAAGAAAGUGAGCUGAUUUUGUUAAUCGAUCCACAACCACCCAAAUAGCGUCACAACCAGAUCGGAUCCAUUAGAUCAUCGAUUCUAGGCAACGGAUAUUUAUUCUUCACAGUGAUCUUAUUCAAUUGCCGAUAAUCGACACACAGCCGCAUACUCCCAUCCUUCUUCUUUACCAGUAACACUGGCGCUCCCCACGGAGAAACACUUGGUCGGAUAAAAUGCUUACCCAACAGAUCUUCCAGCUGAGCUUUCAGUUCAGCCAUUUCUAAAGGCGACAUCCUAUAAGGAGUAAUUGAAAUUGGACCGGAUCCAGGUACCAACUCAAUUGCAAAUUCAACCUCUCGGUUAGGUGGGAAUUCAUUAAUAUCAUCCGGAAACACAUCUGGAAAUUCACAUACAACCGGAAUUUGCUCUAAACUCUGAUCAUCACCUGAUACUCCCGCAGUUAAUAACAUAAUACCCUGACAUUCGGUUCCAGAACAGUUUACUAUCAUAGAGUUCAAAUAGUAACUAUUCACCACAACCGGUGCUUCUGACCCUUCUAGCGUAAACUGUACUGACUUCUCAGAACAAUCAAGCAAAACAUGAUUCUUGGAUAACCAAUCCAAUCCCAAAAUGAGAUCAAGACCAGUCAUAGGCAAACAAAUCAAAUCAUGCACAAAUUCACGCUGUUGUAUUCGAAAGGGAACUUGUGGACAUUUUAUCCUAGUCACCAUAGCUUCAUGAGUAGCAUUAUAUACUUUCAAAUCAUAACCUAAGACCACCAUUCUCAAUCUUAAUUCAUGGGCCUUUUCAAAUGCAAUAAAUGAAUGACUUGCUCCUGAAUCAAAUAAAGCAUUUAAGAUUUUACCAGCCAUUUCACAAUUACCUCUAAUAAGUGUCUCAGAUCCCUCAGCACCAAUGGUAGAAGUAGUGUAUACUCUCUCCGGCUGUUGCACCCUACCAGUCUCAUACUUCUUCUUCUCAGGGCAAUUACUGGCUAUAUGCCCGGGCUGUCCACAGGAAUAGCACACUCCAAGUCCUAAUCUACACGGAACCCAGGAUGAUAUUUUCCACACUUCUGACAAUUCAGAUCCUGCUGUGGCUGCUUUCCAAACCUUUUUCCUUGAUUAGCAGUAAUAUUCGGCCUUCUAUAAUUACCCUGACCCUGAGUCUGCUGCGGAACAAAGCCUCCACGCUUGAAAUUCCUACCUCUCGGAGCAAAGUUCCUCUCUGAAGGCCUCUGAAAAGGCAUCCUCAAACUCCCUGGGUCAACAGAGUAUCGAGUUUUCAACCUGGUACACGUGGUGGCAAGCCACGGCACUUAAUCCAGGGAAUCUCGUAUCUCAUAUUAUUCAAAUUCAUAAGCCAUAUAAAUAAUUCAAUUAUAAUUCCUCAACAUCCACAUCAUUCUCAAUUGCAUCUUAUUCAUCAUCAUACAUUAAACAUAUUCAAUCCUUAUCCUUCAUUAUCACACCUCCCAUUCCGUCCAUAAAUAGUUUUAAUUCAAAACAUAAUUCAUUCUUUUUUAAGAAUCAAACUUCAAACUUAAAACAUACUCACUUUCUUAAUAACUCAAAAUCAAACCAUAUAACAUUUAAAUCUAAAUCUCUUUUAAAUAAUCAUCUAAACAAAAUCUCUAAUUUUUAUAAAAUUUCGGCAGCAUCUCCUCUAAAACUCGGACUUUGCCACCCUGUUNN